GUGAGGAAUAUUGCGCAAUGGAGGCAACUCUGACGCAGCCAUGCCGCGUGCAGGAAGAAGGCGCUACGCGUUGUAAACUGCUUUUAACCGGGAAGAAACCCCAGGACGUGUCCUGGGUUGACGGUACCGGAGGAAUAAGCACCGGCUAACUUCGUGCCAGCAGCCGCGGUAAUACGAAGGGUGCAAGCGUUAUCCGGAUUCAUUGGGUUUAACGGGUGCGUAGGCGGAGCGUUAAGUCAGUGGUGAAAUCCUGCAGCUUAACUGUAGACUUGCCAUUGAUACUGGCGCUCUUGAGUGCGCUUGAAGUGGGCGGAAUGUGCCGUGUAGCGGUGAAAUGCUUAGAUAUGGCACAGAACACCAAUUGCGAAGGCAGCUCACUAAGGCGAUACUGACGCUGAGGCACGAAAGCGUGGGGAUCGAACAGGAUUAGAUACCCCAGUAGUCC
rnacentral:rRNA from 1 species